UACGUAGAUGGCAAGCGUUAUUCGGAUUUACUGGGCGUAAAGGGUCCGCAGGGGGUCUGUCAAGUCGGAUGUGAAAUUCCGGGGCUCAACCCCGGACGUGCAUCCGAAACUGCCGGACUAGAGUGAGCGAGGGGCCGAUGGAAUUCCUGGUGUAGCGGUGGAAUGCGUGGAUAUCAGGAGGAACACCGAUGGCGAAGGCGGUCGGCUGGCGCUCAACUGACCCUCAGGGACGAAAGUGCGGGGAGCAAACAGG
rnacentral:rRNA from 1 species